UACGAAGGGGGCUAGCGUUGCUCGGAAUCACUGGGCGUAAAGGGUGCGUAGGCGGGUCUUUAAGUCAGGGGUGAAAUCCUGGAGCUCAACUCCAGAACUGCCUUUGAUACUGAGGAUCUUGAGUUCGGGAGAGGUGAGUGGAACUGCGAGUGUAGAGGUGAAAAUUCGUAGAUAUUCGCAAGAACACCAGUGGCGAAGGCGGCUCACUGGCCCCGAUACUGACGCUGAGGCACGAAAGCGUGGG
rnacentral:rRNA from 1 species